rnacentral:lncRNA from 1 species
UUUAAUAAAUUAAUAGAGAACGUAAUUUUCACAAAGAAACUACAAACAUUAUAGGGCAGGGUCAGAUGAUGUGAACAUCAAGUUAAACUCAUACCAUCAAAUUAUGUUGAACUUGAGGUACUUUUUCUAAUGCCCAAGAGUAAUCACAUUACUUCUUAUGUAGUAACCACUACCCAGAUGAAAAAGGCCAAGAAAUUGAACAUUCCAUGAGCGAUUAAUAAUGCACAAACUGGCUAUAUCAUUUCUUAGAUUUGAUCCCUCGAGGUAAACUACUAAGUUUAGUGCCUUUCAAAAAAAACCCAAAGAAUUACAAUAUAUAUAAUAAGAAACAGCCCAAAAUAAGAAAACAAUCACAAGUAAACAAAAUGCCCAGUGGGAACUAACACCUAAUUGAUCUUUCAUCACAAAACACAGUUAUUGAAUCAAGUAAGAUAAAUCCCCGCCCUCACUUGAGUAAGAAACAAUGGAUAGGAGGGGAUUGAAUUCUCGCUCUCACUUGGCACUGGCAAGCUGGGUGCGGAGGAGUUUGGCAGCAUCAACCAUGGCCUUGAGGGCUGGAUUCACUUCAGCAUA